AGAGUUUGAUCCUGGCUCAGGACGAACGCUGGCGGCGUGCUUAACACAUGCAAGUCGAGCGAUUCAAGGAGUAGGAGAACAGAGGCAAGAAGCAGGAGGGUCGUGUAUGGCCCUGUUUGUUUUUCUUGUUUCCUGUUUCUGUUCUCUUGCUUCUUGGAGAGCGGCGCACGGGUGAGUAACGCGUGGGUGACCUGCCCGGGAGACUGGGAUAACAGCUCGAAAGGGCUGCUAAUACCGGAUGAUAUCGCUUUAUUAUCAUGAAGUGAUCAAAGCGUUUAGUGCUCUCGGAUGGGCCCGCGUCCCAUUAGUUAGUUGGUGGGGUAAUGGCCUACCAAGGCGGCGAUGGGUAGCCGGUCUGAGAGGAUGGUCGGCCACACUGGGACUGAGACACGGCCCAGACUCCUACGGGAGGCAGCAGUGGGGAAUUUUGCGCAAUGGGGGAAACCCUGACGCAGCGACGCCGCGUGAGUGAUGAAGGCCUUCGGGUUGUAAAGCUCUGUUGGGGGGGAAGAUAGUGACGGUACCCCCUGAGGAAGCCCCGGCUAACUACGUGCCAGCAGCCGCGGUAAGACGUAGGGGGCGAGCGUUGUCCGGAAUUACUGGGCGUAAAGGGCGUGUAGGCGGCUUUUCAAGUCGGCUGUGAAAGUCCUCGGCUUAACCGGGGGAGUGCAGUCGAAACUGGGGAGCUUGAGUGCAGGAAAGGGUGGUGGAAUUCCCGGUGGAGCGGUGACAUGCGUAGAUAUCGGGAGGAACACCGGUGGCGAAGGCGACCACCUGGUCUGUUACUGACGCUGAGGCGCGAAAGCCG
rnacentral:rRNA from 1 species